rnacentral:rRNA from 1 species
UUAUUUUUAGAGUUUUGGAUCUGGCUCAGAUUGAUCGCUGGCGGCAGGCCUAACACAUGCAAGUCGAGCGGAUGAAAGGAGCUUGCUCCUCGAGUGAGCGGCGGACGGGUGAGUAAUGCCUAGGAAUCUGCCUGGUAGUGGGGGACAACGUUUGGAAAGGAACGCUAAUACCGCAUACGUCCUACGGGAGAAAGCAGGGGACCUUCGGGCCUUGCGCUAUCAGAUGAGCCUAGGUCGGAUUAGCUAGUUGGUGAGGUAAUGGCUCACCAAGGCGACGAUCCGUAACUGGUCUGAGAGGAUGAUCAGUCACACUGGAACUGAGACACGGUCCAGACUCCUACGGGAGGCAGCAGUGGGGAAUAUUGGACAAUGGGCGAAAGCCUGAUCCAGCCAUGCCGCGUGUGUGAAGAAGGUCUUCGGAUUGUAAAGCACUUUAAGUUGGGAGGAAGGGCUUGUAGAUUAAUACUCUGCAAUUUUGACGUUACCGACAGAAUAAGCACCGGCUACU